UACGGGGGGGAGCAAGCGUUGUUCGGAUUUACUGGGCGUAAAGGGCGCGUAGGCGGUCGUGACAAGUCACUUGUGAAAUCUCCGGGGCUUAACUCGGAACGGUCAAGUGAUACUGUCGGACUAGAGUACAGAAGGGGCAACUGGAAUUCUCGGUGUAGCGGUGAAAUGCGUAGAUAUCGAGAGGAACACCGGUGGCGAAGGCGGGUCUCUGGGCCGAUACUGACGUGGAGGAGCGAAAGCGUGGGGAGCGAACAGG
rnacentral:rRNA from 1 species